GACGACACGCUGGCGGCGUGCCUAACACAUGCAAGUCGAGCGGGGUUGAGGCGAGAGGUAACUCGAGCUUCUACCUAGCGGCGGACGGGUGAGUAACGCGUGGGCAACCUGCCUCAAGGUUUGGGAUAACAGCCCGAAAGGGCUGCUAAUACCGGAUAUGCCUAUGGGCCUCGCAUGGGGCUAUGAGCAAAGGGGAAACCCGCCUUGAGAUGGGCCCGCGUCCCAUCAGCUAGUUGGUGAGGUAACAGCUCACCAAGGCGACGACGGGUAGCCGGCCUGAGAGGGUGACCGGCCACACUGGGACUCCCGAGACACGGCCCAGACUCCUACGGGGGGCAGCAGUGGGGGAUCUUGCACAAUGGGCGAAAGCCUGAUGCAGCGACGCCGCGUGAGCGAAGAAGGCCUUCGGGUUGUAAAGCUCUGUCUGGAGGGACGAACAAAAUGACGGUACCUCCGGAGGAAGCCACGGCUAACUACGUG
rnacentral:rRNA from 1 species